rnacentral:rRNA from 1 species
UAGGGAAUAUUGGGCAAUGGAGGAAACUCUGACCCAGCAACGCCGCGUGAAGGAUGAAGGUUUUCGGAUUGUAAACUUCUGUUAUGAGAGAAAAAUGAAUGAUGGUAUCUCAUGAGUAAGCCCCGGCUAACUAUGUGCCAGCAGCCGCGGUAAUACAUAGGGGGCAAGCGUUGUCCGGAAUCACUGGGCGUAAAGAGAGCGUAGGCGGUUUUGUAAGUCAAUGGUGAAAGCCCGAAGCUCAACUUCGGAAUUGCCGUUGAUACUGCUUAACUUGAGUAUGGGAGAGGAAGAUGGAAUUCCUAGUGUAGCGGUGGAAUGCGUAGAUAUUAGGAGGAACAUCGGUGGCGAAAGCGAUCUUCUGGAACAUUACUGACGCUGAGGCUCGAAAGCGUGGGGAGCAAACAGG